rfam:Triticum aestivum genome assembly, contig: Triticum_aestivum_CS42_TGACv1_scaffold_577414_7BL
AUCGUACUCCCUCCGUUUGAAAUUACUUGUCACAAAAAUGGAUAUAUCUACAACUAAAAUACAUCUAGAUACAUUUAAAUCUUGGACGGGUAAUUCCAAACGGAGGGAGUAUGAU